UUACUUAUGUGGCAGAGGACAUACCUUUUUAGUAGCCUUGAAUGAUAUGGUCUAGUUAGAGAGUGCAAGCUUGUGCCUUGCACUGUGGGUAGGCUGACUGACACCUGUGAGAGUCUACAACUGCCUCCAAAUGCAAGCAUCUCGGCUGCACAAUUUAUGGUAAUGGGGGAUUGCUUUUAGGCUUUCCCCCU
rnacentral:snRNA from 14 species